CCUACGGGUGGCAGCAGUAGGGAAUAUUGCACAAUGGGGGAAACCCUGAUGCAGCGACGCCGCGUGAGGGAUGAAGGUUUUCGGAUUGUAAACCCCUUUUGUCAGAGAAGAUAAUGACGGUAUCUGACGAAUAAGCACCGGCUAACUCCGUGCCAGCAGCCGCGGUAAUACGGAGGGUGCAAGCGUUACUCGGAUUCACUGGGCGUAAAGGGCGCGUAGGCGGGAUAGCAAGUCAGAUGUGAAAUCCUAUGGCUUAACCAUAGUACUGCAUUGGAAACUGUAAUUCUAGAGUAUGGGAGAGGUAGGUGGAAUUCUUGGUGUAGGGGUAAAAUGCGUAGAGAUUAAGAGGAAUACUCGUGGCGAAGGCGACCUGCUAGAACAUAACUGACGCUGAUGCGCGAAAGCGUGGGGAGCAAACAGGAUUAGAUACCCGAGUAGUC
rnacentral:rRNA from 1 species